rnacentral:rRNA from 1 species
UGCAGUCGAGCGAAUGGAUUAAGAGCUUGCUCUUAUGAAGUUAGCGGCGGACGGGUGAGUAACACGUGGGUAACCUGCCCAUAAGACUGGGAUAACUCCGGGAAACCGGGGCUAAUACCGGAUAACAUUUUGAACCGCAUGGUUCGAAAUUGAAAGGCGGCUUCGGCUGUCACUUAUGGAUGGACCCGCGUCGCAUUAGCUAGUUGGUGAGGUAACGGCUCACCAAGGCAACGAUGCGUACCCGACCUGAGAGGGUGAUCGGCCACACUGGGACUGAGACACGGCCCAGACUCCUACGGGAGGCAGCAGUAGGGAAUCUUCCGCAAUGGACGAAAGUCUGACGGAGCAACGCCGCGUGAGUGAUGAAGGCUUUCGGGUCGUAAAACUCUGUUGUUAGGGAAGAACAAGUGCUAGUUGAAUAAGCUGGCACCUUGACGGUACCUAACCAGAAAGCCACGGCUAACUACGUGCCAGCAGCCGCGGUAAUACGUAGGUGGCAAGCGUUAUCCGGAAUUAUUGGGCGUAAAGCGCGCGCAGGUG